rnacentral:tRNA from 1 species
UAAGGCUUUAAGUUAAAUAAACUAAUAUCCUUCAAAGCUAUAAAUAAAGAAAUUUAUCUUUAAGUCUUA